rnacentral:rRNA from 1 species
GUUGAACGCUGGCGGCAUGCUUUACACAUGCAAGUCGAGCGGUAACAGGCCUUCGGGUGCUGACGAGUGGCGAACGGGUGAGUAAUGCAUCGGAACGUACCCAGAGGUGGGGGAUAACGCAGCGAAAGCUGUGCUAAUACCGCAUGUGAUCUGAGGAUGAAAGCGGGGGACCGAGCAGCAAUGUUUGGCCUCGCGCCUUUGGAGCGGCCGAUGUCGGAUUAGCUAGUUGGUGGGGUAAAGGCCUACCAAGGCGACGAUCCGUAGCUGGUCUGAGAGGACGACCAGCCACACUGGGACUGAGACACGGCCCAGACUCCUACGGGAGGCAGCAGUGGGGAAUUUUGGACAAUGGGCGCAAGCCUGAUCCAGCAAUGCCGCGUGCGGGAAGAAGGCCUUCGGGUUGUAAACCGCUUUUGGCAGGAACGAAACGGUGUCCGCUAAUACCGGGCGCUAAUGACGGUACCUGCAGAUUAAGCACCGGCUAACUACGUG